GCUGUGCACAAGCACGGCGCCAAACUGCCUGACAACAAGGGGGGCGGGGGAGGCCGUGUGGGGAGGCGCGGAGAGCGGAGGCUGCGCAGUGGGGAAUUAGCUCAAAUGGUAGAGCGCUCGCUUAGCAUGCGAGAGGUAGCGGGAUCGAUGCCCGCAUUCUCCAGCGCAGGGAUUAUUUUCUUUCCUCGAGCCCAGAGGGCUUGUUUUAACCCCAAUGGCACUCCCUGGGAGACAAGCUCUACUUCGCAACCGGCCCAACCAGCUCAGCUCGUGGCCCUUCCAGCAGUGGGGAGACAGUGUGCACCGCAUUGAACCCAAGAAACCCUGCAAACCAUCCUGCCAUCUUGGUGCUGGCUCAUGGACUCCAUUUUGCCCCUCUACACCAACCUCUGGGAAAUACAUACAGCUUUACUGUGGAGAUUUCAGACCUUUUUCAUUUAGUCAAAUUUGGUCAACGUGCCUAUAGAUUAACCUUGAAGGACAUAUGGACAUCCACGUGGGCAUCAUCUGACCCAAAUUGCCCAUAAAUUAAAUCUGCCAAAGAUGCAUGUCUUGUUGCAAUGUACAGUCACGAAAACCCAUUAUUUCAACAUGGGAAGCCUGGCAUUUUCCCUUCAGGAUCUGAAGUUCCAUGUAUAAAGUGUAAAGCAUGAACUUUUAUCUUCUCAUUCCUGAUAGCCCCAGUGAUAUUUAUGCUUACCUUACCCCUGCUGAUAGGAAAAU